UAUGUGAUCGUCUCUCGCAUAUCAAUAAGCGGAGGAAAAGAAACUAACAAGGAUUCCCCUAGUAACGGCGAGUGAAGCGGGAAGAGCUCAAAUUUGAAAUCUUAAAGGGUUUCCCUUUACGAAUUGUAGUUUAAAGAAGUGUUUUCUGUUGAGGUUUUGGUAAAAGUUCUUUGGAAUAGGACAUCAUAGAGGGUGAGAAUCCCGUAUUUGACCUUUACUUUCAACUUUGUGAUACACUUUCAAAGAGUCGGAUUGUUUGGGAAUGCAGUCCAAAAUGGGUGGUAAAUUUCAUCUAAAGCUAAAUAUUGGCGAGAGACCGAUAGCGAACAAGUACCGUGAGGGAAGGAUGAAAAGAACUUUGAAAAGAGAGUUAAACAGUACGUGAAAUUGUCAAAAGGGAAGCGUUUGACACCAGUGAUUGUUUUUCUGAAAAUCAAUUAAAGAACUGUUUAUGCUAAGUUGUUUAGACUUUAUCAGCUAACUGUUUAGUUUUGAGCUUUUCUUUAAUGCACUUUUCAGUUAACAAGUCAACAUCAAUUUCUUUUGCUGUAAAAAAGCUUGAGGAAGGUGGCUUGAGAUUCGUCUUAAGUGUUUAUAGCCUCUUGCCUAUGCAGUCGGAGAGAUUGAGGUCUGCAGCGUAGAUCCUUCGGGGCUAAAUGCAUUUGUGCUAAGUUAUAGCAUUUUAUAGACAACUUGUUGACUAUGAUUUGUCUUGUAGCUUACUCGCUUAUGUUAUUUUACCUACGCUUAGGAUGUUGAGUAGCGACAUACGCAC
rnacentral:rRNA from 1 species